GAACGUCUUUAAUGAGGGAAGAAAAUCACAAUCCCAUGAUGCAUUGUGUAGGACAGUCAGUCGAUGGAGAAAUAUAAAUCUAUUCAUUUAAAAUAGUCAAUUAUAUCUACUGUAUGCUCGAUUAUGUCAUUUGCGGUGCUUAUAUACCUGAAAUGAGUCAAAAAGUUUUUUGUAAAAAGUUUUUCUUCUGCUAAUAUAGUAAAAGCAGUAAUAUUGUGAAAUAUGAAAAUUUAAAAGAAUUUUAGCAAUGCUUCAUGGGAGCUCUUUUGGUGUUGUUUGCUCAUUGCGACUUCUAGACAGCAUCAUGGGUAAUGUAGUUUUUCACCACAAAUGCCUCCGUUAAACAUGAUUAUUUUGAGUGAAAAUGAUGCUGAUGUCUUCCAGAAAAACAUAUACCACCGAUUAACAACCUUAGAACUCACAGCAGGUCUGUCUAUAAAGGUUUAUAGUUAUAAAUCGAUUUCCCUAUGGAGAAAAUGUUUUUACGUCCGGCACGAAUGUUGCACUCUAUUUAAUUUUUCCCUUGAGGUCCACUUAAAAUGUUUUUUUUUUUUGAGCCAGUAUAGUUUUUCAUAUCCAUUUUCCACCCUCUCUAUAUGGUUACAUGCUUUUGAUAGCUCAUUUGAUGAGGUUAGAUGCCAUUUUCCCAGCAUCCUCCUAGAUAAUGGCCUGGAUAAGAUGCAUUUCAGCGUGAAGAAGAGAACAGACGGCUGCACAAAAGCACCAGUUAUGGUGCACAGCAUCAAGUCAGAAGAAGCAUAGAAAUGCAAUGAGUUUCUUCUAACGGUGCCCUUGAGAAAGAGCCGCAUAGAGCCGAGAUUUCUCUCGUCUUACAGCAUAAAUAUGUGAUGCGUCACUUUAGAUCUGAACGGAUCCAGUGCCAAACGAGAUUUCAGAGGACGCUGGAAAGCGAAAGCGUGGAGGAGUAAUGGCUUUAAAAUAUUGCUGUGUGUUUGAGCCAGUGAGUACUGUGCAGCCCGGAGCCUGUCUGAUCCCUCCGCCGCCAUCCAUCUGAGAUCUGAGAUGUUGACCUGUUGGUAUGGGUGAAAAAUGUCCUAUUUUACAUUGAGGGAGGGACCUGAGCCAUAUCUAAAGAACAGACUAUCAUUGACUUGAGGUAAGCAAUCAUCAAGGAAUCACCUGAACACCCCAACUUUAUAGCAACACUCUGGCAACCUUCCAAAACACUCCAACAACAGCAUGGAAACAAAGUAUCGGCUGUUUCUCAAUAUGCGUUCUUUAGCGAUCUUGCGUCCUUGUGUUCUCGCUCUACGUCAUCAUUAACCGUCGAAGUUCAGUUCCAAUUCUCAAGAACGCGAGUAAAGAGGACGCAUGAAAGUUCCUGGAUGUGUUCUUGAUAUCGAGGAUGCAUCGAGUGCAGACUUGAGAGAAUCGAGCCGUUAGAAAUCACAGAAGACGCUGCGCGCGGCCGCUGUACGGAAGCCUGCAAGCUUUAAACUCGCUCUCGCAAAUGCUUGACGGCUCUUGAAAGUAAACAUUUACCGUUUUUUUUUACUUAUUUUUAUUAAAGUUAUAAGUCUGCAGUAUUUUUACUGGCAUAUUAAAAUUAAUCUUUAC